rnacentral:rRNA from 1 species
CAUCUAAGUAGGGCGAGGAAGAGAAAUCAACCGAGAUUCCGCUAGUAGUGGCGAGCGAACGCGGAAGAGGCCAAACCGGAGGUAGCAAUAUUUCCGGGGUUAGGACUGCAAUAUGUAACUUUAAUCUUUAACUGAAUGCUUUGGGAAGAGCAGCGAUACAGGGUGAUAGCCCCGUAAGUGAAAAGGAUUGAGUGCUAGCAGUAUCCAGAGUACCAGCGGACACGUGAAACCCGCUGGGAAGAUGGGGGGACCAUCCUCCAAGCCUAAAUACUACUCAGUGACCGAUAGUGGAGCAGUACCGUGAGGGAAAGGUGAAAAGUACCCCGGGAGGGGAGUGAAAAAGAACCUGAAACCUUGUGCCUACAAGCACCGAGAGUCCGUUAAUGGAUGAUCGGGUACUUUUUGUAGAACGGUCCGGCGAGUUAAUAUUUGCAGCGAGGUUAAGGAACUGGAGUUCCGGAGCCGCAGCGAGAGCGAGUCUGAAAAGGGCGUAUGAAGUUGCAGGUAUUAGACCCGAAACCGGGUGACCUAUCCAUGAGCAGGCUGAAGCGGUGGUAAGACACCGUGGAGGGCCGCACCCACGUCUGUUGAAAAAGCCGGGGAUGACUUGUGGAUAGCGGAGAAAUUCCAAUCGAACUCGGAGAUAGCUGGUUCUCCCCGAAAUAGCUUUAGGGCUAGCGUUAUUUUAGAUUACCGGAGGUAAAGCACUGAAUGGUCUAGGGGCCGCGAGGUUACCAAAGCCUAUCAAACUCUGAAUGCCGGAUAAUUGAUGAAUAGCAGUCAGACUGUGUGAGAUAAGUCUCAUAGUCAAAAGGGAAACAGCCCAGAUCUACAGCUAAGGUCCCAAAUGAACACUAAGUGGAAAAUGAUGUGAAACUGCGAAGACAACCAGGAUGUUGGCUUAGAAGCAGCCACUCAUUCAAAGAGUGCGUAAUAGCUCACUGGUCGAGUGGUUUUGCGCAGAAAAUGUAACGGGGCUAAGUGUUCAACCGAAGCUUAGGCAUUGCAGCAAUGCAUUGGGUAGGGGAGCGUCGUAUGCGGGGCGAAGUCAGAGCGGAAGCACUGGUGGACUGCAUACGAGUGAGAAUGCCGGAAUAAGUAGCGAGAAUUAUGUGAGAAUCAUAAUGGCCGAAAAUCUAAGGUUUCUUGGGGAAGGUUCGUCCGCCCAAGGUUAGUCGGGAGCUAAGCUCAGGCCGAAAGGCGUAGGCGAUGCACAUACGGUAGAAAUUCCGUAACCACCGAACAUUUAAGCUAGAGGGACGCUUUCAUUAAGUCUAUCCCGGGCGAUGGUUGCCCCGGGCGUAAGGGACCGAAAUUUAGUAGGGAAGUAGACGGCGUGAGAGACGAGAAAAGCUCUAGUGUAUACUAAGGUGCCCGUACCGCAAACCGACACAGGUAGAUGGGAUGAGUAUUCUAAGGCCAACGGGAGAAGGGUUGUUAAGGAACUCGGCAAAUUGGCCCCGUAACUUCGGGAUAAGGGGCGCCUGCGAGAGCAGGCCGCAGUGAAAAGGCCCAAGCGACUGUUUAGCAAAAACACAGCUCUCUGCUAAAUCGAAAGAUGACGUAUAGGGGGUGACGCCUGCCCGGUGCUGGAAGGUUAAGGGGAGUGCUUAGCGCAAGCGAAGGUGCGAACUUAAGCCCCAGUAAACGGCGGCCGUAACUAUAACGGUCCUAAGGUAGCGAAAUUCCUUGUCAGGUAAGUUCUG